UACGUAGGGUGCGAGCGUUAAUCGGAAUUACUGGGCGUAAAGUGUGCGCAGGCGGCCGCGCAAGUCGAGUGUGAAAUCCCCGAGCUUAACUUGGGAAUUGCGCUCGAAACUACGUGGCUGAAGUGUGGCAGAGGAAGGUGGAAUUCCACGUGUAGCGGUGAAAUGCGUAGAGAUGUGGAGGAACACCGAUGGCGAAGGCAGCCUUCUGGGCCAACACUGACGCUCAUGCACGAAAGCGUGGGGAGCAAACAGG
rnacentral:rRNA from 1 species